AGCUUUGUGCAGUGGCAGUAUCAUAGCCAAUGAGGUUUAUCCGAGGCGUGAUUAUUGCUAAUUGAAAAAGAUUUUGCACAGC
rnacentral:snRNA from 1 species